UUCUACAGAUCCGACUAUGAUAGUAUGACGUUGGGUGGAUAAUUCUUGCAAAUUCCUACAGAAGAUGUGUUGGUGUAGCCAGGUUGGUGCUUGUUCUGUGCUGCUGCUCCAUUUAUGCAAGAAGGGUUUUUUCUUU